ensembl:lncRNA
ACAUUGAAUACCCUUAAUGGGAAGGGAACUGCAAGUUUCGUCGACUCCAACUCCUGGUUCAUUUCCUGAAAGUACUCUACAUUUUUUGGUAGCAUGAGAACAUUUUUUAUAAUGUUAUACUGUACCUUUCAAAAAUGAUACACAUCAUGUGUCCCAAAGAACUUGUAAGAGCUUCAUAGAUUUGCUUUGAACUCAGUAUAUAAUUUUCUUCAUAUAAACCUAUUAGAGAUGUACACUGUAGGCAAUACAGGAUAGGACUGUGUACCCUUUGCUGAGCUGAAUUUGACUUGCUGUCUGGUCUGUAAUGCAUGAAACUUGAAUACAUCUCCAAAAAUGGUAAAGUACCAAUGCCAAGUCAUUUCAGACUGUUGUUUGUUUUUCCACGAGGAUCCAGAUCCUCAGCAGUGUAAACGUAGCUAAUUUCAUGAACACCACUUAUCACCAGGAAAGGGCCUGACCAAAGAUCUUAGGAAUACCCAGAAGUAGUAUUUAUAGCAUCUCUUUUAUAGAUCUCUUUUAAAUGCAGCUUUAAAGCAAAUUUUUGAAGACAUUUUCAUUGUUUCUCUGAAGGUAUGUCAGGUCCCUUACAAGAUAAGUGAUAGAGCACAUUUGAUUUUUUAAAUGUCUACUUGCCUUCUACUUGAUUCCUUUCAUACUCUCUGUCCUGAACCUGCGAAGACCAUGAACCUCUUCAGUUUACAAAUAUCCAAACUGCAGCCUUGCUCCAUCUACUUGAAGUCAAUGUCAAAAAACUAAAUUCAAAUAAUGGAUUUCACCAGCCUUGUACGACUGUGUUAAAACCCACAGAAAAAGAAUAUUCCUUAGGCAAAGGAGGCCUUCAUGUUGUGGCAUCUUUGUAUCAGAUGAGACUCCACUUAGUAUAAACAAUGAAGUUAUUCACAAGCAUAUGAAUGUACAGGGAUAAAGCAGGUUUCAGGACUAGAAGAGAAGUAAUAAGAUGCGAGCUCUUUAAUUGAAAAAUAUUUUGAGGACAGAAAUCAGAGUACUACAUCAUUAACCUCUGAAGAGCCAGUCUUUGUCUGAAUUCCUAGUGAAAACCACUUACUUACUGAACUUAGGAUGUACUCGUUCAAUAAUACCCAAAUCUUCACUUUCUUGUCUUCAACAGCCCAGCGAGCAUAAUCUUCUUUCACAUCUAUUGUCAAUUUCACUUUCUGGCUUAUAUGGAUGAACUGCUUUAUCCAUUCUUGUAGUUCUUGUCUGCUUUGCGCAAAGAAAGAUGAGAUCUGGGAACCUGACAUGAUUUACUGAUGUUUUUUCUUCUUGCUUCUAAAACCUCCAGUUCUUCACAAGAAAAAAACCUUUCAUCCUUCAAUAUUUUUUUCAGAAGAAAACAAAAAGUCUGAAUUAAGCAGAACAGUUUCUAAAAUCAUAAUACAGUUAAUAUCCAAUAAUAAAGCAUUUACUUGAGAUGCUGAAGAGCAAAUAUACACAGUGUGUGAGAGAAAGAGAGCUCAUUUGGUAUAUUUCAGUGUUCCCACCAUGACUGUUCAUGGGCAACUCCGAAUCUAUUUUGCACAAUAACUUUGUGAAGAAAGGGAAUAUUAUUCCUAUUCCACAGUCAGGGAUUCAAGGUCUAGAGAAGACAGAAGAGUAUUUGUAUGACACAGAGGUAGCCUUUCUUCCACAGAGCAAGGCAACACGAGUUUAGAUCUUGUCUUGCACUGUCACUGGAGAAACUUCAUUCUAUCCACAAUGAUUACAUAGGAAAACCUGAAUAUUCUGGAGUUAGCAGCUAAAUCAAGUGCAUAGAAGUAGAUAUUCAGAAUAUAUUAAGGGCCAAAUAUCACCAAACCGAAAAUGAGAAGAAACAGAGUUUCCUUUGCAUGUCUUCUGUACAACUGACUUGGUUUCCUAGCUGUUAUGCUAGAGAGCCUGUAAGAACACAGCUGGGAGAUGGUGGGUGU